UACGUAGGGGGCAAGCGUUGUCCGGAUUCAUUGGGCGUAAAGAGCUCGUAGGCGGCUUGUUGCGUCGUCCGUGAAAACCCGCAGCUCAACUGCGGGCUUGCGGACGAUACGGGCAGGCUAGAGUUCGGUAGGGGAGACUGGAAUUCCUGGUGUAGCGGUGAAAUGCGCAGAUAUCAGGAGGAACACCGGUGGCGAAGGCGGGUCUCUGGGCCGAUACUGACGCUGAGGAGCGAAAGCGUGGGGAGCGAACAGG
rnacentral:rRNA from 1 species